rnacentral:rRNA from 1 species
UACGAAGGGUGCAAGCGUUACUCGGAAUUACUGGGCGUAAAGCGUGCGUAGGUGGUUCGUUAAGUCUGAUGUGAAAGCCCUGGGCUCAACCUGGGAAUGGCAUUGGAAACUGGCGACCUAGAGUGCGGUAGAGGGUAGUGGAAUUCCCGGUGUAGCAGUGAAAUGCGUAGAGAUCGGGAGGAACAUCCGUGGCGAAGGCGACUACCCGGACCAGCACUGACACUGAGGCACGAAAGCGUGGGGAGCAAACAGG